rnacentral:misc_RNA from 1 species
GAUGAAGAACGUAGCGAAAUGCGAUAAGUAAUGUGAAUUGCAGAAUUCAGUGAAUCAUCGAAUCUUUGAACGCACAUUGCGCCCGCCAGUAUUCUGGCGGGCAUGCCUGUCUGAGCGUCAUUUCAACCCUCAUGCCCCUAGGGCGUGGUGUUGGGGAUCGGCCAAAGCCCGCGAGGGACGGCCGGCCCCUAAAUCUAGUGGCGGACCCGUCGUGGCCUCCUCUGCGAAGUAGUGAUAUUCCGCAUCGGAGAGCGAUGAGCCCCUGCCGUUAAACCCCCAACUUUCCAAGGUUGACCUCAGAUCAGGUAGGAAUACCCGCUGAACUUAAGCAUAUCGAUAAGCGGAGGA